rnacentral:rRNA from 1 species
UAGCUAGUUGGUGAGGUAAAGGCUUACCAAGGCGACGAUCUGUAGCGGGUCUGAGAGGAUGAUCCGCCACACUGGAACUGAGACACGGUCCAGACUCCUACGGGAGGCAGCAGUGGGGAAUUUUGGACAAUGGGGGCAACCCUGAUCCAGCCAUGCCGCGUGAGUGAAGAAGGCCUUCGGGUUGUAAAGCUCUUUCGGCCGGGAAGAAAUCGCAUGGGCCAAUACCCUGUGUGGAUGACGGUACCGGAAUAAGAAGCACCGGCUAACUACGUGCCAGCAGCCGCGGUAAUACGUAGGGUGCGAGCGUUAAUCGGAAUUACUGGGCGUAAAGCGUGCGCAGGCGGUUUUGUAAGACAGGCGUGAAAUCCCCGGGCUUAACCUGGGAACUGCGUUUGUGACUGCAAGGCUAGAGUACGGCAGAGGGGGGUGGAAUUCCACGUGUAGCAGUGAAAUGCGUAGAGAUGUGGAGGAACACCAAUGGCGAAGGCAGCCCCCUGGGUCGAUACUGACGCUCAUGCACGAAAGCGUGGGUAGCAAACAGGAUUAGAUACCCUGGUAGUCCACGCCCUAAACUAUGUCAACUAGGUGUUGGGUGGGUAAAACCAUUUAGUACCGUAGCUAACGCGUGAAGUUGACCGCCUGGGGAGUACGGCCGCAAGGUUAAAACUCAAAGGAAUUGACGGGGACCCGCACAAGCGGUGGAUGAUGUGGAUUAAUUCGAUGCAACGCGAAAAACCUUACCUACCCUUGACAUGCCAGGAACUUGCCAGAGAUGGCUUGGUGCCCGAAAGGGAGCCUGGACACAGGUGCUGCAUGGCUGUCGUCAGCUCGUGUCGUGAGAUGUUGGGUUAAGUCCCGCAACGAGCGCAACCCUUGUCGUUAAUUGCCAUCAUUUGGUUGGGCACUUUAACGAGACUGCCGGUGACAAACCGGAGGAAGGUGGGGAUGACGUCAAGUCCUCAUGGCCCUUAUGGGUAGGGCUUCACACGUCAUACAAUGGUCGGUACAAAGGGUUGCCAAGCCGCGAGGCGGAGCCAAUCCCAGAAAGCCGAUCGUAGUCCGGAUUGCAGGCUGCAACUCGCCUGCAUGAAGUCGGAAUCGCUAGUAAUCGUGGAUCAGCAUGUCACGGUGAAUACGUUCCCGGGUCUUGUACACACCGCCCGUCACACCGUGGGAGCGGGUUCCGCCAGAAGUAGGUAGCCUAACCGCAAGGGGGGCGCUUACCACGGCGGGGUUCGUGACUGGGGUGAAGUCGUAACAAGGUAGCCGUAGGGGACCUGCGGCUG